UGGGGAAUUUUACACAAUGGGGGAAACCCUGAUGUAGCAACGCCGCGUGGAGGAUGACGGAUUUAGGUCUGUAAACUCCUUUUAUAAGGGAAGAAAUUUGACGGUACCUUAUGAAUAAGCACCGGCUAACUCCGUGCCAGCAGCCGCGGUAAUACGGGGGGUGCAAGCGUUACUCGGAAUCACUGGGCGUAAAGGGAGCGUAGGCGUUUUAUUAAUCUUGAGUGAAAGCUCGCAGCUCGACUGCGGAACUGCUCAGGAAACUGAUAGAAUUGAGUAUGGAAGAGGUAGGUGGAAUUUCCGGUGUAGGGGUAAAAUCCGUAGAUAUCGGAAGGAAUACCAGAAGCGAAGGCGACCUACUGAGACAUUACUGACGCUGAGGCUCGAAAGCGUGGGGAGCAAACA
rnacentral:rRNA from 1 species